rnacentral:tRNA from 1 species
AAAGGGAGACCUAAUUCAGGUAGUAGACGAAAAAAAAGUAGUCGCUACCAAGAAUCAAUCCCAAAAGGUCGGAGCGAGGCAAAAUUGGCUUUCAAACUAGGUUCUGGGUUCACACAAGACCUGAAUCAGGAACAAGGGCUAUUAGCUCAGGUGGUUAGAGCGCACCCCUGAUAAGGGUGAGGUCCCUGGUUCGAGUCCAGGAUGGCCCACCUGUACAGGUGGCAAAAAGAAGGAAAAGAAGCGAGGAAUCAGCACCUUAUCUUACUUACAUAGUAAGAGAGAAUGCUGGCUCUGAGUUCAGAGUCCAGAGGAACCUUGAAAACUGCAUAGAGCUAGGUGAAAAAGCCAAAAAAGAAGACCGCAAG